rnacentral:rRNA from 1 species
ACGCCUAACACAUGCAAGUCGAACGAAGUAGCAAUACUUAGUGGCAGACGGGUGAGUAACAUGUAGGUAUCUACCCUUUGGCCUGGAAUAACACGAGGAAACUUGUGCUAAUACCGGAUAAGUCUUUACGGAGAAAGCUUUAUGCACCAUUGGAUGAGCCUGCACUUGAUUAGUUUGUUGGUAGGGUAAUGGCCUACCAAGACUUUGAUCAAUAGCUGAUUUGAGAGGAUGAUCAGCCACAUUGGGACUGAGACACGGCCCAAACUCCUACGGGAGGCAGCAGUGGGGAAUCUUGCACAAUGGAGGAAACUCUGAUGCAGCGAUGCCGCGUGAGUGAAGAAGGCCUUUGGGUUGUAAAGCUCUUUCGUCGGGGAAGAAAAUGACUGUACCCGAAUAAGAAGGUCCGGCUAACUUCGUGCCAGCAGCCGCGGUAAUACGAAGGGACCUAGCGUAGUUCGGAAUUACUGGGCUUAAAGAGUUCGUAGGUGGUUGAAAAAGUUGGUGGUGAAAUCCCAGAGCUUAACUCUGGAACUGCCAUCAAAACUUUUCAGCUAGAGUUUGAUAGAGGAAAGCAGAAUUUCUAGUGUAGAGGUGAAAUUCGUAGAUAUUAGAAAGAAUACCAAUUGCGAAGGCAGCUUUCUGGAUCAUUACUGACACUGAGGAACGAAAGCAUGGGUAGCGAAGAGGAUUAGAUACCCUCGUAGUCCAUGCCGUAAACGAUGUGUGUUAGACGUUGGAAAUUUAUUUUCAGUGUCGCAGCGAAAGCGAUAAACACACCCGCCUGGGGAGUACG